GGGGCUACGGGGAGGGCGGGGUCGAUCCGUGAGCGGGGUUUUCUCCGGGUGCCGGCGGAUUCUGAGAAAAAGAUUGAGUUUGUGCUGAUCGGCUUCGAGGUUGAAGCAGAUUACUGUGCUAGUGGACCGGGACUGACUGUGGGUCGUGAGCACACUUCACGCCUCUGAGUGCCAGUUUCUGCUGUACGAAGGGGCGCCCUCCAGCCCUGGGAGAGCUGGAUCCCGCGACGGAACGCAGCCUCGCUGUCGCCCACUUUUGCUGCGUCUUUAUUCUGCCAAAAGCUGGGGUGGAGCCACAGCGGGCGGACCGUGAGAGAGCCGGCGGCCCGAGGGUGCGAGCCCCGGAGGAGGCCGGCGUUCGCGCCAGGUCGCGGCCCUCCUGCCAGCCGAGCGUGGGUCAGUCUUUAUCGCGAAGGGAAGAGGCACAGGAAGAGUUGGAAGGGCCGACCUUUGUCCCUCGGACCAAGCAUCAAGUCAGCAGAAAUUUAAAAUAGCGGAUACGCGGCAGCAAAGCGUCUCGGGCAGGCAGGUUGCGUGGUUAAACUCUAGGUUCGGAGCGGCUGAGCCUGGCUCCUGCUUGCGUCUCACUAAAGACAGGACCUUGGAUAAAUUAUAUAACCGCUCUGAGCCUCGGUUUCCUGGUCGCUAAGCGGAUGCAAAUUAAAUCUACUUCACUGCGCGGUUAUGAAGAUUACAUGAAAGAAUCUAUGUAAAAUGCUAGUAUUAGUGUGCCAAUCCUGAUGGAAGAUGGAGGCGCUGGAAGGUUCCAUCAGGUGUCAUAAGAUCUGACUACUAGAAAACUCAAAAUGAUAAAUGUAGCUCUUGUUACAUUUCUUCUGGCUGGGCACCGGAAUGCGCACAUAAAGGGCCUUUCAAUGCAAGACAAGAAGGAAUGAGUACAUGCUUGCCUCUUUCCCAUCCAAUUUCUCCCCAGCAGGGGAUCUUCCUGAAAUAAUGCAGAAUGGAGUACCUCACACAUUCCCCCAACACAAACAGGAACUUGUUACUCACUUGCCAUUGUUCUUGGGGAAAAGAACAAAAGCCCAGAUCUGUCCUCCUAGACUGCUGACUUCCUCAACCUGGCCCCACACCGGCCACAGAGCCACCUUCCAAUCCUUGGCCAGGAAGCGCCUUCCCACCUCAGGGCCUUUUCAUAGACCCUGCCUGGAAGUCUCCCACUGUCUUCUCCUUGCCUACUUCUUCUUCAGAUCUCACGUCACUCACUCUGCCUCUCUGAAAAGAGGAUCACUUCCCUUUACUUUGGAGUCUUCUUUCAAAGCAUCAGCACAGUUGUAAUUGCACAUUUAUUUGUGAGUGAUUUGUGAUGGGUAUCCUUUUCCCUUACCAGAGUGUAAUCUCCUUGGAGGCACAGGGUAUCUGCGAUUUUUUGAUCACCCUAUCCUCGGUACCAAGAACUGCAGUACUUGAAUGGUUUAGGUCAUGUGAUGAAUGAAUGAAUGCAUUGAUCAGUCUCCUCUGACCCAAAUUCUAUGAGAAAUAGGCAAAAUCUUUACUCUUUUCUGUUAUCAAUAUUCCUUAACAGGGACCAAAUGCAUCCUUUUAGAACCCAGAACCUUCUCAGAGUAGAUGCACUGUUCUUUCCUGGAUAUGAGUUCAUCUUCAGCCAGGAAGGAAUUCUUUCCUUCCUUCCUUCCUUCCUUCCUUCCUUCCUUCCUUCCUUCCUUCCUUCCUUCCUUCUGUUAGGAAACUGGCACAGUUUUAUCUAUGGCACAAUCUACACCCUGAUUUACACCUUAGGCCCUAGCCGCCACCGCCCCCCCCCCCCCCCACGCCCCCAGUUGCUGGAAGCCAGGUGGUCACAUGGCCCAAACUCUGUUGUCAAGCUCCACCCCCAUCCUAAUGAGAUUCGCUGCUCCUGCUUCCCUGCCCGCCCUCGGGCAAAGUUUUAAAAGGGCCUGUUCCGGAACACGUGGCUUUCUUGGCUCUUCCCUCUUGGCUCUGCUCUCCUGCUCUCUUGGCUCUUCUCUCUGCUCUAUCUUCUCUCCUUACUAGCCCCUCUCCUCUGUCUGGCUCUCUCUCUUACCCUUCUUCGUCCCUCCCCUCCAGUCUGCUGGGUUUCCCCCAAUAAACUCUUUCCCUUACUCCAGUGUCCAGUGUGUUUUGUGACGACUAACACCUACCUUCCUUCCUUCCUUCCUUCCUUCCUUCCUUCCUUCCUUCCUUCCUUUCUUUUUUUAAGAUUUAUUUAUUUAUUUGAAAGGCAGAGUUACACAGAGAGAGAAAGAGAUCUUCCAUCCUCUGGUUCACUCCCCAGUUGGCCAUAAUGGCUGGAGCUGAGCCUAUCUGAAGCCAGGAGCAAGGAGCCUCUUCCGGGUCUCCCAUGCGGGUGCAAGGGGCCAAGGACUUGGCCCAUCUCCAUUGCUUUCCCAGGCCAUAGCAAAGAGUUGGAUCAGAAGUGAAGCAGCCGGGACUCGAACCAGCGCCUGUAUGGGAUGCCAGCACUGCAAGCGGUGGCUUUACCUGCUACACUGCAGCGCCAGCCCCAGGACUGCAUUUCUUAAAAAGAUUUAUUUAUUUGAGAGGCAGAGUGACUGAGAGGGAAAGACAGAGAGAGAAAGAGACUUUCCAUCCACUGGGUCAUUCCCCAAAUGGCCAUAGCACUGGGGCUGGACCAGGCUGAAGCCAGGAGCCUGGAACUCCAUCUGAGUCUCCCAUAUGGGUAGCAGGGGCCAAGGUACUUGGGCCAUCAUCUACUGCCUUCUUAGGUGCAUUAGCAGGAGCUAGAUCAGAAACAGAAUAGCCAAGGCUCCAACUGAUGUUCUAGUAUGGGAUACCAGCAUUGCAAGUUGGCUUUACAUGCUGAACCACAAUGCCAACUCCUUGGCUGCAUUUAAAUUGGCAAAUAGAGACACCUCAGCUCCUUCCUGAGAUGACAGAAGUUUUAUUAGCAGGUGACAUAUUUGAAAACCAUUGCAUGGGCAAGUAUUGCUUGGGGAGACUUAUCACUGGCAGUCGUAUGUCCUAUAGGAGGAUUCUUGUUAAUCUAUCGAUAUUUUUCUGACUUGGUCUUGAAUUUGAGGUGCAUCUUAUUUGAAAAGAGCAGUCCCCUGGGUACCGAUUACCCUGCCUGUUUUAGUUUCUUUUCAAAUUUAUCUGUGUGGUUCUUAAAACAUUUCAAUCUUAUCCAGGGUAUUAGUAUGCAAUCCCAUUACUUCAUUUCCCUCCAAGAGGUCCCUGCUGCCAGUGAAGCAAUGGUAUGAGUGCUAACAGCCUGGGCUUUGGAGGAAGGCUGCCCGCUUGCACAUCUUGGCUCACUGAGCACUUACACAAGCUGCUUAACCAGAAUGGGCCUCAGGCUCUUCCCUUGUGAAAUGAGGAUCCCAAAACAGUAUUUCACAGGGCAGGGUGGUGGAAGGAUUAAGUGAGACAAAAUAAGAUGCUGAAGAUCAUGUUUGGCCUGUGGCAAGCCCUGCGUAGAUGUUACGUGUUAGUAACAGAACAAAGAUGGCUCUCUCUGUGAGUUAGUAUCUCUCUGCCUGCCUAGCUCGCUGCUUGACUGUUUGACCCAAGUUUGAUGUUCCUGACAUCAAAUGGCUCGAAGCUCCCAGUACUCCCUGUGUAUAUUUGUUUAAUUCUGUUUGAGAUUACACAUGCAGACAUGUGCCUGCACACAUCGAUCCAACCAUUCAGACUCAGUUUAGCUAUCAGCUGUCAUCUUGUCCAGGGAGCCUACCACUCUGACCCACUUCUGCCCUGUUAGACACUGUCUCCUCUGUUUACUUCUUCCUCUCCUUGCACUGACUACAUUGUGAUAUCAUUAUCUUUAGCUCCUCACGGAGAAGAAAUGUGUCUUUUUCAUCUUCGUAGUUAGCAUUGUUUCUGGCACCAAGUAGACUUCAAUGAGUGUUUGCUGAAUAAAUGAUACAUAAAUUAAUUGAGAAUCCUAUACAAGAAUGGGGACCAUUUGUCUAUCAAACAGUUUGAUGAGGCAUUAUUGUUUCUGUAAAAGUAAGUGUAAGGUUUAUAAUUAUUCCACUUUACCCUACUCUAUUUUUUCUAGGUUUAUUUUAGAAAAUGUAUUAAUACUUCAUUGGUGAAGGUCAGAUUCCUUCCUGUGUUACAUUCAACUCCUCCAAAUUGCUUUGAACAAUGGCAAUGUGAUGGUGCCAAAUGUUAUGAAAGGCUUUAUCUCCUUCUGCCCCCCACAUAGACUCUGUCACUGCCAAGCAAGUUUUUAGAGGAGUGAAAUUCAAAGAUACUAUAUACUAAAUCAUCUAAAAAUAGUGCCUACCACUGUGCAAGACCCUGUAAUUAAAAUACUAAAAAGUAGUAUUUUAGUUCUAAAAAGCAUUUAUCAACUGAAAUAAUUUUUGAGUAAGUAUUUCAGCUAAAAAAAUCUUAACAAUGGGGCCCUUUGUAGUUACCAUUUUGAAAAUUGCUGUUAGAUAAUACAGUAGUCUCCCUUUACUCAUGGGAGGUACAUUCCAAGCCCCCCAGUGGAUUACUGAAUCCUACUAUGGUUUUCCUAUAUAUACAUACCUGUGAUAAAGCUUAACUUACAAAUUAGAUACAGUAAGAAAUGAAUAAUAAUUAACAAUAAAAUAGAAUAAUUAAAAUAAUAAUAUAUAAUUAUGA